ACGGUUAUUGCACAAAACCGACUAAACCGCUCCAUUGGGAGACUGAGCCUCACUGGAGAUGGGAGUCAAUAAGAGGGGCGGGACAAGACUUCCCGAGAGGAGGCUCAUCUCCAGCUGCUGAUUGGAGGAGGAGCUGUGAACGCGGCUGGGCUGCUCAUGAUUGACAGAAAGCAGUCAGAGGCGGGACAUCAUGUUGUAAAUAAAAUGUGAACAUAAGUUUGCUACCCGUUUUCAUUUCCGUUCGAAAAUACAACCAAUGAUCAAAACAACAGUGUCUUGUGUUCCCGUUAGCCUAUAGUCUGGUAAGUUAGCAAAAUAGCUCAAGUCUCGUCAGCACCAAUAACUUCAUAAACAACAGGUCCCGACUGUCCAGCCUUUUCUGAUCUGAAACGCACCAAAUCACAUCGAGAGAGAGAAUAAAAGAGUUUGUGCCGCCUGGAAAACGAAAAUCCUGUCUAGCUAAGUGGCUUCAACUGUUGUUGCUUGAAAUGCUAAUUAAAAUUGCACUGUUAAUGAUCAUAAGCAUUCCGGCACAUAACUGUCAGUGACUGGCAAAAUUAACUCCCCUUCUUCCCUCUUUCUUUCUCUCUCACUUGUUGACUUCCCAGAGCUGAGUUUGGUUUGUUUGAGUGGAGUAGACUUCUUCAUCUUAUGUCAGUUUUCAGAUUCCACGACUAACUGACAAACUGCCUGGCUGCGGAGUCGGACCUUGAUGAGAACACUUCUCAGCUCUUGUGUAUCCCGCGGUGCUGAGCUGACUAUCGCGAGGCUGCCGGAUAUGAAAUGUUUCCAAUGUCGGAUAUUUCAGCUUCGUUUAAAAAUGAUUAUGUGGACUUUAUUUUUAGACAAACAAAUGUGAACAGGGGGAUGCAAGCUGAAUUUAGAAUUUUCCACCGAUCAAAGUCAGAACAAUUUUCAUCAUGUAUUAAUUUCACAUUUCUGAGUGAAAAAAAAAUACCGUGGGAAAAAAAUGCCGAGGACAUGAGCUCGGUGUCCUCAAUGGUAGUUACGGCCCUGGUCGUCACUGUCAUAUUUAUCAUUUCUAAAUUCUCCACACAUUCUCUAUUGGGGACAGAGGGGACACGCCCUCUUCUUCCACAGCCACGCCUUUGUAAUGUGAGCAGAAUGUGGUUUUGUGUUGUCUUGUUAAUCUCCCUGGAAAAGACGUCGUCCUGAAGGCAGCAGAUGUUGCUCCAAAAUCUCAGUGGACUUUUCCGCAUUAAUGCUCCAUCACAGAAGUAGCACACGGCGUCCAUUUCUUCCAAAAAAGACCUGAAACACUGAUUCGUCUGACCACAAUACCCGUUCCCACUGUGUGAUGGUCCAUCCCAGACGCCUCCGAGCCCAGAGAAGUCGACGGCGCUUCUGGACACCGUUAACAUAAGGCUUCCUUUUUGUACAGUAAAGUUGUAACUGGUGUUUGUGGCUGUAACUCUGUACUGUAACUUGAUAAAGGUUUUCCAGAGUGA